UCUUCAUCGUGAAAGAAACGGAAAAGAAGGAGAUCUCUCCCUCUCACGCGGAUCGCUCUCUCUCAAUUGCGUCUCUCUUCCAGUCUCUCGCUCUCUCGAUUCGGUAUCAACACAACAAUAACAACAACCGAAACUCCCUUCUCUCGAUGCCAUCACAAUUCAAACUCAGACACAAACAAACAAAAACAUCAAAAAGAAACCUAACCCCCAAAGUAAACCCAAUAAGCCCAAAUUCAAUAUGUUCUUCAGACUACAAAUUAUAAAUUACAUGGAAAUCAAAGAAAAUGAUUAAAGACAAAUGAUCAGGGAAAAAAGAGAUACGAUGUCGACGACGAGAAUUACAUCCUUUCGGCGAAUCUACUCAGGUUUUGGUAUGCCAUGUUUGGGAAAUAUUUGGACUCUUGUGUGCAGGUCUGUAUGGAGCAGCAUAGUGGCAGAUUUCUUGGACAGAAGCGGUGGAGUAGCAACAUGGGAUAACAGCAAGAUGAAGACAAAUUUUUUUGUUUCAAAUUCUGUACUAUUUUGUUAUAAAAAAUGGGCUUAAGAACAAAAUGUAAAUGGGCCUCAAUAUAUAAAACUCUUUUUUUUAUA